UGGUAAAAGGUCCGAAAUUUCAAAAAAUAUGAACAUUUUGUAAAACUUCGAGCACUUCUGCAUGUUCCAACCAUUCAAAAAUCGCACAUUUUUGAAUAUAAAUAAAAAUGUUUUUUUAAUAAAUGUUUUGCGAUCAAAUUUGCAUCAUGA
ensembl:ncRNA T19D12.14 ncRNA